rnacentral:rRNA from 1 species
GGCCCUUAUUUCCUACAUAUUGAGGAUUGUAUUUAUUUGGCCGCGAAUUCAUCCCUUCGGUCACGUUCGUUGCCUUCAUAGAGUCGGGCCUGCGCGAUAUGUGCCCGCAGACAACAUACCUCACGAGCGAUCGACACUUUUUAUCUGAAACGCAAUUAAGCAGACAGAUCACUCCACGAACUAAGAACGGCCAUGCACCACCUAUCACACAAUCAUGAAAGGACUAGCAUAAUUUAUCGCCUGUCAAUCCUCAGUGUGUCCGGACCCGGCAAGUUUUCCCGCGUUGUCAAAUUAAGCCACAUGCUCCACGCGUUCUUGUGGUGCCCUU